UACGUAGGGUCCGAGCGUUGUCCGGAAUUACUGGGCGUAAAGAGCUCGUAGGUGGUUUGUCGCGUUGUUCGUGAAAACUCACAGCUCAACUGUGGGCGUGCGGGCGAUACGGGCAGACUUGAGUACUGCAGGGGGAGACUGGAAUUCCUGGUGUAGCGGUGGAAUGCGCAGAUAUCAGGAGGAACACCAGUGGCGAAAGCGGCUCCUGGUCCAAGCAC
rnacentral:rRNA from 1 species